rnacentral:lncRNA from 1 species
GGUCUGCUUUGCCUGAGUCCAUCAACAGCUGGGAGAUUAAUCAACCACACUGAAAAUGA